rnacentral:rRNA from 1 species
GAGUUUGAUCCUGGCUCAGGAUGAACGCUGGCGGCGUGCUUAACACAUGCAAGUCGAACGGGAAAUAUUUCAUUGAGACUUCGGUGGAUUUGAUCUAUUUCUAGUGGCGGACGGGUGAGUAACGCGUGGGUAACCUGCCUUAUACAGGGGGAUAACAGUCAGAAAUGGCUGCUAAUACCGCAUAAGCGCACAGAGCUGCAUGGCUCAGUGUGAAAAACUCCGGUGGUAUAAGAUGGACCCGCGUUGGAUUAGCUUGUUGGUGGGGUAACGGCCCACCAAGGCUACGAUCGGUAGGGGUUCUGAGAGGAAGGUCCCCCACAAUGGAACUGAGACACGGUCCAUACUCCUACGGGAGGCAGCAGUGAGGAAUAUUGGUCAAUGGGCGGAAGCCUGAACCAGCCAUGCCGCGUGCGGGAAGGAGGCCCUAUGGGCUGUGAACCGCUUUUGCCUGGGGGCAAUAAGGGCGUCGCGCACGUCCGAUGAGAGUACCAGGGGAAUAAGCAUCGGCUAACUCCGUGCCAGCAGCCGCGGUAAUUC